UGCAUUCACUACCUUAAGUCGCUCUGGAUAAGAGCGUCUGCUAAAUGACUAAAA
rfam:Salmo salar isolate Sally breed double haploid chromosome ssa22, whole genome shotgun sequence.